AAUCUACUCUGGCGCCAGUGUUCACAAGGCCGAUAUGAGUGUCAGAGUAAUGAACGAAACAUUUGAAGAUGCCAUGAUGGAGUCCACCUCAUCAGAGUUCAAAGAUUUUGCUGCAAAGUUCUGCACGAACGUUCUGUCAGAGCUGACAGAGAAAGUCGAAUGAUGCCAGGUGCCAAGUUCAUUCUUUGAGACGAGGGUCGAUCGUGGUAGAAGUUUACGUUAGAGUUGCUUGCCCCUGAGAACGUCACACUGCACCUGUUGGAGGAGUGGCUGAGUGUGCCCACCCUGGGUGUGAUGACACUUGACCCCUCCAGUCUUCACGUCCUGUCCAACGCGACUGAGAAAGAGUUUCAUCUGACUAAGGAUGAGCCCUCAUCUUGCUCAGCUGAGUAUUUGCCGCUGCAGCCUCUGAGUUACACCUUCCCUCAUCACUGCCAGGACUACCGGGUGUGUGUGGAUGGCACGCCGCUUCUGGAGAAAUGCCCGGAUGGCCAGGAGUUUGCCUUUACUUCGCCGGACGAUAAAAUAAUCUGCGCUCCUCCUUCUGCCCACACCUACUGUGGCCGGAAGAGACUUCAGACAGAAACCCAGCCAUCCACCACCACCACCACCGCCACCACCACCGCCACCAAGCACAUUAAUCACAAGACUUGGAAUCACCAUCCACGACACCGACAACACUGUCGCUGCUCUCAUCACCACACGUCCACAGAGAUACACCGAUGAUUAUUUCAACCAAAAAUCUACAGAAGGUGUCCUUCCAACUUUG